rnacentral:rRNA from 1 species
UCAUAACCCUUUGUUGUCCGACUCUGUUGCCUCCGGGGCGACCCUGCCUUCGGGCGGGGGCUCCGGGUGGACACUUCAAACUCUUGCGUAACUUUGCAGUCUGAGUAAACUUAAUUAAUAAAUUAAAACUUUUAACAACGGAUCUCUUGGUUCUGGCAUCGAUGAAGAACGCAGCGAAAUGCGAUAAGUAAUGUGAAUUGCAGAAUUCAGUGAAUCAUCGAAUCUUUGAACGCACAUUGCGCCCCCUGGUAUUCCGGGGGGCAUGCCUGUUCGAGCGUCAUUUCACCACUCAAGCCUCGCUUGGUAUUGGGCAACGCGGUCCGCCGCGUGCCUCAAAUCGACCGGCUGGGUCUUCUGUCCCCUAAGCGUUGUGGAAACUAUUCGCUAAAGGGUGCUCGGGAGGCUACGCCGUAAAACAAACCCAUUUCUAAGGUUGACCUCGGAUCAGGUAGGGAUACCCGCUGAACUUAAGCAUAU